rnacentral:piRNA from 1 species
UGAGAUUAUUAGAAAGGUUGAAGGGGGCAU